rnacentral:rRNA from 1 species
AACGAACGCUGGCGGCAUGCCUAACACAUGCAAGUCGAACGAGACCUUCGGGUCUAGUGGCGCACGGGUGCGUAACGCGUGGGAACCUGCCCUUAGGUUCGGAAUAACUCCCCGAAAGGGGUGCUAAUACCGGAUAAUGUCUUCGGACCAAAGAUUUAUCGCCUUUGGAUGGGCCCGCGUUGGAUUAGCUAGUUGGUAGGGUAAAAGCCUACCAAGGCGACGAUCCAUAGCUGGGCUGAGAGGAUGCGCAGCCACACUGGGAGUGAGACACGGCCCAGACUCCUACGGGAGGCAGCAGUGGGGAAUAGUGGACAAUGGGCGAAAGCCUGAACCAGCAAUGCCGCGUGAGUGAUGAAGGCCUUAGGGUUGUAAAGCUCUUUUACCCGGGAUGAUAAUGACAGUACCGGAAGAAUAAGCUCCGGCUAACUCCGUG